rnacentral:rRNA from 1 species
AGAGUUUGAUCAUGGCUCAGGACGAACGCUGGCGGCGUGCUUAACACAUGCAAGUCGAACGAGAAUCUGCGGAAAGAGGAUUCGUCCAAUUGAAGCAGAGGACAGUGGCGGACGGGUGAGUAACGCGUGAGGAACCUGCCUUUCAGAGGGGGACAACAGUUGGAAACGACUGCUAAUACCGCAUGACAUAUAGAUGUCGCAUGGCAUUUAUAUCAAAGAUUUAUCGCUGAAAGAUGGCCUCGCGUCUGAUUAGCUAGUUGGUGAGGUAACGGCCCACCAAAGCGACGAUCAGUAGCCGGACUGAGAGGUUGAACGGCCACAUUGGGACUGAGAUACGGCCCAGACUCCUACGGGAGGCAGCAGUGGGGAAUAUUGGGCAAUGGGCGCAAGCCUGACCCAGCAACGCCGCGUGAAGGAAGAAGGCUUUCGGGUUGUAAACUUCUUUUGUCAGGGACGAGUAGAAGACGGUACCUGACGAAUAAGCCACGGCUAACUACGUGCCAGCAGCCGCGGUAAUACGUAGGUGGCAAGCGUUGUCCGGAUUUACUGGGUGUAAAGGGCGUGUAGCCGGGAGGGCAAGUCAGAUGUGAAAUCCACGGGCUCAACUCGUGAACUGCAUUUGAAACUACUCUUCUUGA